ACGCACGCUGGCGGCAUGCCUCACACCUGCCAGUCGCACGAGACCUUCGGGUCUAGUGGCGCACGGGUGCGUAACGCGUGGGAACCUGCCCUUAGGUUCGGAAUAACUCCCCGAAAGGGGUGCUAAUACCGGAUAAUGUCUUCGGACCAAAGAUUUAUCGCCUUUGGAUGGGCCCGCGUUGGAUUAGCUAGUUGGUAGGGUAAAAGCCUACCAAGGCGACGAUCCAUAGCUGGUCUGAGAGGAUGAUCAGCCACACUGGGACUGAGACACGGCCCAGACUCCUACGGGAGGCAGCAGUGGGGAAUAUUGGACAAUGGGCGAAAGCCUGAUCCAGCAAUGCCGCGUGAGUGAUGAAGGCCUUAGGGUUGUAAAGCUCUUUUACCCGGGAUGAUAAUGACAGUACCGGGAGAAUAAGCUCCGGCUAACUCCGUG
rnacentral:rRNA from 1 species